AAGCGAACCCGUGAAGGUUCCAGGAGGAUGGCGCACCCGGAAAGGGCGUGGAAGCUCCGCGCCCCUUCCCACAGACUUUCCCCCAUCCAUCUCUUCAUCUGGUGUUCAUCGAUAGCCUUUGUAAUGUCCUUAAUAGUAAACCGGAAAACGUUCUUUCUACGUUGCCCAAGCUGGAGUGCAGUGGCCAUUCAACAGGUGGGAUCAUAGCACACCGCAGCCUCAAAUUCCUGGGCUCCAGCGAUCCUCCCAUCUCAGCCUCCCAAGUAGCUGGGGCUAUAGGCAUGUGCCACCACACCCAGCUAUUCCUUCUUAUAGCCAAAUAAUAUUCCAUUGUAUGGAUCAUUUUUUUUCUUUUCUUUUCUUUUUUUUCUGAGAUGGAGUCUCACUCUGUUGCCCAGACGAGUGCAGUGGCACAAUCUUGGCUCACUGCAACCUUCACCUCCUGGUUCAAGCAAUUCUCCUGCCUCAGCCUCCCAAUCUCUCUCUGCUGCUGUUCUCCCUCCUCCAGAUAUUUUCAUUUCUUCUGCAAAGUGGAGGACUAAAACUGCAGUUUUAGAGUGGAGGAAGAAGAGAAUCACCACAUAUCGUAUUUAGAGGUCCUGCAGAAAGGGCAGAGCGAGUUUCAUGUUUGAGUGCAGCGGAUGCAUGGGCAAAGCAUUACACAGCCGCUCCAUGGAAGUGACAAUGAGCCUUGUCUUUCACACGUAACUCCAGGAACCAGGGGAAACAAAACCAAUUCCACCCAGAGGUACAGACAAAGAAGAGCACCCUCCCAAAGGAGCCCGCAUGAUAAGUGGCCACGGCGAACAUCACUGUGAUCAGUCAGAAAGGCAGGCGAGUUAUUAGCUUAGCCCUGAACCUCCUACUUAAUGUAGAACCAGUGGUGAUGGUUAACAGACCCUGGCUGCAGUGACAAGCCUGGGACCUGCUCGAGGAAAUCCAAUUGAAAAGCAGCCAAGAGGAACAACAAGCUAGAAACAGAUGUUCCAGCUACCAGGAUGUGCACGCAUUUAACCUGAACAUGUAGUUGGGGUGGGAUGGUAGCAUUCGUUUCUAAAUAUAGUGAUUUCACUUCUUCCCCCAUAUAGAUAUUGUCAAGUUUAAUUAUAGCCAUCCACAUUAGUUUUGUCAAAUUUUCAGCAAUUUCUUUAAAAUAAGAAGAUGUCAGAAUGAUAACUGCUAUUAAGGGAAUUCAGGGUGUUUGGUUUAUCUACCCAGUCUUACUAAAACAUUUCAGUUAAAUCAUCCACUCUUAAACUCCAGUCUCAUAGCAAUUAAAAAUUAUCUUUUAAAAAAUUGCCCAAA
rnacentral:lncRNA from 1 species